GCACCGCUAGCUUAGAGGUAGAGCAUUGCACUUGUAAUGCAAAGGUCCCGAGUUCAAUUCUCGGGCGGUGCU
rnacentral:tRNA from 1 species